AGAGUUUGAUCCUGGCUCAGAUUGAACGCUGGCGGCAUGCCUUACACAUGCAAGUCGAACGGCAGCGCGGACUUCGGUCUGGCGGCGAGUGGCGAACGGGUGAGUAAUACAUCGGAACGUACCCUGUUGUGGGGGAUAACUAGUCGAAAGAUUAGCUAAUACCGCAUACGACCUGAGGGUGAAAGUGGGGGACCGCAAGGCCUCACGCAGCAGGAGCGGCCGAUGUCUGAUUAGCUAGUUGGUGGGGUAAAGGCCCACCAAGGCGACGAUCAGUAGCUGGUCUGAGAGGACGAUCAGCCACACUGGGACUGAGACACGGCCCAGACUCCUACGGGAGGCAGCAGUGGGGAAUUUUGGACAAUGGGGGCAACCCUGAUCCAGCAAUGCCGCGUGUGUGAAGAAGGCCUUCGGGUUGUAAAGCACUUUUGUCCGGAAAGAAAUCGCGCUGGUUAAUACCUGGCGUGGAUGACGGUACCGGAAGAAUAAGCACCGGCUAACUACGUGCCAGCAGCCGCGGUAAUACGUAGGGUGCGAGCGUUAAUCGGAAUUACUGGGCGUAAAGCGUGCGCAGGCGGUUUUGUAAGACAGGCGUGAAAUCCCCGGGCUUAACCUGGGAAUUGCGCUUGUGACUGCAAGGCUAGA
rnacentral:rRNA from 1 species